UGUGGGUCAGCGACCUGUGCCCAGGUGGACUAAUCCCCGUAAAAAAAAAAUGUGUGGGGAAGCAUCUUCCUCUCAAGCAAGGGUUACCUCAUGAAUGUGGAGGGGUAUUGAUGACAGUUAUGAUAUUGAACGUGAGAUGUUGGAGGGAAUGUAUCAGCGUAUUAAAGCGCAAGAGUUUUGACCUGGUCAUGAUCACGUUACUCAAGUUCUAAAGGUGCAACAGACUAGGCAAAAAGCCCAAUUUGGCUCUACCUCAUCGUCGACUUGUAUGUUAUUGUCGAUUGUAUGAGAUUCCCGAUAUGACAAAGAAAGAGAGGGUUGGAGUUCACCAGUGAGAAGUCUUCCUUUUCAAUGACCUUCCGGAAGUAACCAAGAUUUUCUCCAAAAAGAAAAGUUCUGUAACAUAUACAUUUAGGCAGAGCUUCCCUCUUGCCGGUCUUGCUGUUUCCAUCAAGGAAGUGCCACUGAACAUGAUCAUACCAAAUUUUGUGAAGAUUUGAAGGAAAAUGUGUGUGAAAUGGAUGAGAUGGAAACUCUUAGAAUUGAAGGGGAGCUGGAGAGACAAGGCAUCUUUAAGAGCAUCAAGACCCAGUUCUAUGGCCAAGAACCGUGACUGGUGUAGCUGAUAUGGAAUUACUGACUGCCAAUGAAAAAAAUGGAACUCUUUAAAGCUGAUUCUACUUUAAAGAGAUCAGCUCUUAGCAAUUCUCUGUUGGAUAUGCAUGAGGCUGGUAAGUGUAAUUUAUCUUCUUAGGGAAGUUCCAGGUAUGUACAGUAUGUAUUACCUUUUCCAAGAAUUUGCUCACAAGAAAGUUAUAGUAUAGUGAUGAUAGCAAUGAAGAUUCAUGUGUAAUCAAUUUUGUGUAAUGUGUAAUCACCUCAGAAACCCAUACCGGUAGUUAGCUAGUAAUUAGCUCUGAAAAAAUUUCAUUGCAAAUUUCCGAGUUUCAAUACGCCCACUAAUACCCACAAUCAAUUUGUGGGCCAUAGAUUCAGACUCAGCAUGCUCAGGAUUACUGUUCCUAUAUUGAGAUUUUGGGCCAAAAUGGUAAGCAUAAUGGCUUAAAUUCCAAGAGAAAAAGUAUACAGUGGUCCCUCAGUUAACGAGCACAA
rnacentral:lncRNA from 1 species